rnacentral:lncRNA from 1 species
GUUAGGGUUGGAGUUAGGGUUAGUGUUGGAGCUAGGGUUAGGGUUGGGCUUGGAGCUAGGAUUUUUCUGAGUGCAAUGAACCAACUCCCGAGUCUCUAGGACGUUCCCAAAAAAAUUGAUUUUUUCCCAUAGGAAUGCAUGGGUUAGGGUUAGGGUUAGGGUUAGGGUUGGAGCUAGGGUUAGGGUUAGGGUUAGGGUUGGAGUUAGGGUUAGUGUUGGAGCUAGGGUUAGGGUUGGGCUUGGAGCUAGGAUUUUUCUGAGUGCAAUGAACCAACUCCUGAGUCUCUAGGACGUUCCUAAAAAAAUUUGAUUUUUUCCCAUAGGAAUGCAUGGGUUAGGGUUAGGGUUAGGGUUGGAGCUAGGGUUAGGGUUAGGGUUAGGGUUGGAGUUAGGGUUAGUGUUGGAGCUAGGGUUAGGGUUGGGCUUGGAGCUAGGAUUUUUCUGAGUGCAAUGAACCAACUCCCGAGUCUCUAGGACGUUCCUAAAAAAAUUUGAUUUUUUCCCAUAGGAUUGCAUGGGUUAGGGUUAGGGUUAGGGUUAGGGUUGGAGCUAGGGUUAGGGUUAGGGUUAGGGUUGGAGUUAGGGUUAGUGUUGGAGCUAGGGUUAGGGUUGGGCUUGGAGCUAGGAUUUUUCGGAGUGCAAUGAACCAACUCCCGAGUCUCUAGGACGUUCCUAAAAAAAUUUGAUUUUUUCCCAUAGGAAUGCAUGGGUUAGGGUUAGGGUUAGGGUUGGAGCUAGGGUUAGGGUUAGGGUUAGGGUUGGAGUUGGAGCUAGGGUUAGGGUUGGGCUUGGAGCUAGGAUUUUUCUGAGUGCAAUGAACCAACUCCCGAGUCUCUAGGACGUUCCUAAAAAAAUUUGAUUUUUUCCCAUAGGAAUGCAUGGGUUAGGGUUAGGGUUAGGGUUUGAGCUAGGGUUAGGGUUAGGGUUAGGGUUGGAGUUAGGGUUAGUGUUGGAGCUAGGGUUAGGGUUGGGCUUGGAGCUAGGAUUUUUCUGAGUGCACUGAACCAACUCCCGAGUCUCUAGGACGUUCCUAAAAAAAUUUGAUUUUUUCCCAUAGGAAUGCAUGGGUUAGGGUUAGGGUUAGGGUUAGGGUUGGAGCUAGGGUUAGGGUUAGGGUUAGGGUUAGGGUUGGAGUUAGGGUUAGUGUUGGAGCUAGGGUUAGGGUUGGGCUUGGAGCUAGGAUUUUUCGGAGUGCAAUGAACCAACUCCCGAGUCUCUAGGACGUUCCUAAAAAUUUUUUAUUUUUUCCCAUAGGAAUGCAUGGGUUAGGGUUAGGGUUAGGGUUGGAGCUAGGGUUAGGGUUAGGGUUAGGGUUGGAGUUAGGGUUAGUGUUGGAGCUAGGGUUAGGGUUGGGCUUGGAGCUAGGAUUUUUCUGAGUGCAAUGAACCAACUCCGAGUCUCUAGGACAUUCCUAAAAAAAUUUGAUUUUUUUCCCAUAGGAAUGCAUGGGUUAGGGUUAGGGUUAGGGUUGGAGCUAGGGUUAGGGUUAGGGUUAGGGUUGGAGUUAGGGUUAGUGUUGGAGCUAGGGUUAGGGUUGGGCUUGGAGCUAGGAUUUUUCUGAGUGCAAUGAACCAACUCCCGAGUCUCUAGGACGUUCCUAAAAAAAUUUGAUUUUUUCCCAUAGGAAUGCAUGGGUUAGGGUUAGGGUUAGGGUUUGAGCUAGGGUUAGGGUUAGGGUUAGGGUUGGAGUUAGGGUUAGUGUUGGAGCUAGGGUUAGGGUUGGGCUUGGAGCUAGGAUUUUUCUGAGUGCACUGAACCAACUCCCGAGUCUCUAGGACGUUCCUAAAAAAAUUUGAUUUUUUCCCAUAGGAAUGCAUGGGUUAGGGUUAGGGUUAGGGUUAGGGUUGGAGCUAGGGUUAGGGUUAGGGUUAGGGUUGGAGUUAGGGUUAGUGUUGGAGCUAGGGUUAGGGUUGGGCUUGGAGCUAGGAUUUUUCGGAGUGCAAUGAACCAACUCCCGAGUCUCUAGGACGUUCCUAAAAAAUUUUUAUUUUUUCCCAUAGGAAUGCAUGGGUUAGGGUUAGGGUUAGGAUUGGAGCUAGGGUUAGGGUUAGGGUUAGGGUUGGAGUUGGAGCUAGGGUUAGGGUUGGGCUUGGAGCUAGGAUUUUUCUGAGUGCAAUGAACCAACUCCCGAGUCUCUAGGACGUUCCCAAAAAAAUUUGAUUUUUUCCCAUAGGAAUGCAUGGGUUAGGGUUAGGGUUAGGGUUGGAGCUAGGGUUAGGGUUAGGGUUAGGGUUGGAGUUAGGGUUAGUGUUGGAGCUAGGGUUAGGGUUGGGCUUGGAGCUAGGAUUUUUCUGAGUGCAAUGAACCAACUCCCGAGUCUCUAGGACGUUCCUAAAAAAAUUUGAUUUUUUCCCAUAGGAAUGCAUGGGUUAGGGUUAGGGUUAGGGUUUGAGCUAGGGUUAGGGUUAGGGUUAGGGUUGGCGUUAGGGUUAGUGUUGGAGCUAGGGUUAGGGUUGGGCUUGGAGCUAGGAUUUUUCUGAGUGCACUGAACCAACUCCCGAGUCUCUAGGACGUUCCUAAAAAAAUUUGAUUUUUUCCCAUAGGAAUGCAUGGGUUAGGGUUAGGGUUAGGGUUGGAGCUAGGGUUAGGGUUAGGGUUAGGGUUGGAGUUAGGGUUAGUGUUGGAGCUAGGGUUAGGGUUGGGCUUGGAGCUAGGAUUUUUCUGAGUGCACUGAACCAACUCCCGAGUCUCUAGGACGUUCCUAAAAAAAUUUGAUUUUUCCCAUAGGAAUGCAUGGGUUAGGGUUAGGGUUAGGGUUAGGGUUGGAGCUAGGGUUAGGGUUAGGGUUAGGGUUGGAGUUAGGGUUAGUGUUGGAGCUAGGGUUAGGGUUGGGCUUGGAGCUAGGAUUUUUCUGAGUGCACUGAACCAACUCCCAAGUCUCUAGGACGUUCCUAAAAAAAUUUGAUUUUUUCCCAUAGGAAUGCAUGGGUUAGGGUUAGGGUUAGGGUUAGGGUUGGAGCUAGGGUUAGGGUUGGAGUUAGGGUUAGUGUUGGAGCUAGGGUUAGGGUUGGGCUUGGAGCUAGGAUUUUUCUGAGUGCAAUGAACCAACUCCCGAGUCUCUAUGACGUUCCUAAAAAAAUUGAUUUUUUCCCAUAGGAAUGCAUGGGUUAGGGUUAGGGUUAGGGUUGGAGCUAGGGUUAGGGUUAGGGUUAGGGUUAGUGUUGGAGCUAGGGUUAGGGUUGGGCUUGGAGCUAGGAUUUUUCUGAGUGCAAUGAACCAACUCCCGAGUCUCUAGGACGUUCCUAAAAAAAUUUGAUUUUUUCCCAUAGGAAUGCAUGGGUUAGGGUUAGGGUUAGGGUUGGAGCUAGGGUUAGGGUUAGGGUUAGGGUUUGAGUUAGGGUUAGUGUUGGAGCUAGGGUUAGGGUUGGGCUUGGAGCUAGGAUUUUUCUGAGUGCAAUGAACCAACUCCCGAGUCUCUAGGACGUUCCUAAAAAAAUUUGAUUUUUUCCCAUAGGAAUGCAUGGGUUAGGGUUAAGGGUUAGGGUUUGGAGCUAGGGUUAGGGUUGGAGUUAGGGUUAGUGUUGGAGCUAGGGUUAGGGUUGGGCUUGGAGCUAAGAUUUUUCUGAGUGCACUGAACCAACUCCCGAGUCUCUAGGACGUUCCUAAAAAAAUUUGAUUUUUUCCCAUAGGAAUGCAUGGGUUAGGGUUAGGGUUAGGGUUGGAGCUAGGGUUAGGGUUAGGGUUAGGGUUGGAGUUAGGGUUAGUGUUGGAGCUAGGGUUAGGGUUGGGCUUGGAGCUAGGAUUGUUCUGAGUCCACUGAACAAACUCCCGAGUCUCUAGGACGUUCCUAAAAAAAUUUGAUUUUUCCCAUAGGAAUGCAUGGGUUAGGGUUAGGGUUAGGGUUAGGGUUGGAGCUAGGGUUAGGGUUAGGGUUAGGGUUGGAGUUAGGGUUAGUGUUGGAGCUAGGGUUAGGGUUGGGCUUGGAGCUAGGAUUUUUCUGAGUGCACUGAACCAACUCCCAAGUCUCUAGGACGUUCCUA